rnacentral:rRNA from 1 species
AGUGAACGCUGGCGGUAGGCCUAACACAUGCAAGUCGAACGGCAGCACAGUAAGAGCUUGCUCUUACGGGUGGCGAGUGGCGGACGGGUGAGGAAUACAUCGGAAUCUACUUUUUCGUGGGGGAUAACGUAGGGAAACUUACGCUAAUACCGCAUACGACCUACGGGUGAAAGCAGGGGAUCUUCGGACCUUGCGCGAUUGAAUGAGCCGAUGUCGGAUUAGCUAGUUGGCGGGGUAAAGGCCCACCAAGGCGACGAUCCGUAGCUGGUCUGAGAGGAUGAUCAGCCACACUGGAACUGAGACACGGUCCAGACUCCUACGGGAGGCAGCAGUGGGGAAUAUUGGACAAUGGGCGCAAGCCUGAUCCAGCCACACCGCGUGGGUGAAGAAGGCCUUCGGGUUGUAAAGCCCUUUUGUUGGGAAAGAAAAGCGGCAGGUUAAUACCCCGCUGUUCUGACGGUACCCAAAGAAUAAGCACCGGCUAACUUCGUG